rnacentral:rRNA from 1 species
AGAGUUUGAUCCUGGCUCAGGAUAAACGCUGGCGGCGCACAUAAGACAUGCAAGUCGAACGAACUUAACCCUUUGUUUACAUUGGGAGCGGUUAGUGGCGGACUGGUGAGUAACACGUAAGCAACCUGCCUAUUAGAGGGGAAUAACAGUGAGAAAUCAUUGCUAAUACCGCAUAUGCUCACAGUAUCACAUGAUACAGUGAGGAAAGGAGCAAUCCACUAAUAGAUGGGCUUGCGUCUGAUUAGCUAGUUGGUGGGGUAACGGCCUACCAAGGCGACGAUCAGUAGCCGGACUGAGAGGUUGAACGGCCACAUUGGGACUGAGAUACGGCCCAGACUCCUACGGGAGGCAGCAGUCGGGAAUAUUGCGCAAUGGAGGAAACUCUGACGCAGUGACGCCGCGUAUAGGAAGAAGGUUUUCGGAUUGUAAACUAUUGUCGUUAGGGAAGAUAAAAGACAGUACCUAAGGAGGAAGCUCCGGCUAACUAUGUG